UGGGGGAUAUUGCACAAUGGGCGCAAGCCUGAUGCAGCGACGCCGCGUGAGGGAAGACGGUCCUCUGGAUUGUAAACCUCUGUCUUAGGGGAAGAAAAAAUGACGGUACCCUAAGAGGAAGCCACGGCUAACUACGUGCCAGCAGCCGCGGUAAUACGUAGGUGGCGAGCGUUGUCCGGAAUUACUGGGUGUAAAGGGAGCGUAGGCGGGCUUACAAGUCAAGUGUUAAAUAUAUCGGCUCAACCGGUAUCCGCGCUUGAAACUGUAGGUCUUGAGUGAAGUAGAGGCAGGCGGAAUUCCUAGUGUAGCGGUGAAAUGCGUAGAUAUUAGGAGGAACACCAGUGGCGAAGGCGGCCUGCUGGGCUUUUACUGACGCUGAGGCUCGAAAGUGUGGGGAGCAAACA
rnacentral:rRNA from 1 species